CCAAGGCGACGACGGGUAGCUGGUCUGAGAGGACGAUCAGCCACACUGGGACUGAGACACGGCCCAGACUCCUACGGGAGGCAGCAGUGGGGAAUCUUGCGCAAUGGGCGAAAGCCUGACGCAGCAACGCCGCGUGGGGGAUGAAGGCCUUCGGGUUGUAAACCCCUUUCAGUGGGAACGAAAUUGACGGUACCCACAGAAGAAGCCCCGGCCAACUACGUGCCAGCAGCCGCGGUGAUACGUAGGGGGCGAGCGUUGUCCGGAUUUAUUGGGCGUAAAGAGCUCGUAGGCGGCUUGGUAAGUCGGGUGUGAAACCUCCAGGCUCAACCUGGAGACGCCACUCGAUACUGCCCUGGCUAGAGUCCGGUAGGGGAUCACGGAAUUCCUGGUGUAGCGGUGAAAUGCGCAGAUAUCAGGAGGAACACCAGUGGCGAAGGCGGUGAUCUGGGCCGGUACUGACGCUGAGGAGCGAAAGCGUGGGGAGCGAACAGGAUUAGAUACCCUGGUAGUCCACGCCGUAAACGUUGGGCACUAGGUGUGGGGCCUUAUCGACGGGUUCCGUGCCGCAGCUA
rnacentral:rRNA from 1 species